rnacentral:rRNA from 1 species
UGGCGGACGGGUGAGUAAUGUCUGGGAAACUGCCCGAUGGAGGGGGAUAACUACUGGAAACGGUAGCUAAUACCGCAUAACGUCGCAAGACCAAAGAGGGGGACCUUUGGGCCUCUUGCCAUCGGAUGUGCCCAGAUGGGAUUAGCUAGUAGGUGGGGUAACGGCUCACCUAGGCGACGAUCCCUAGCUGGUCUGAGAGGAUGACCAGCCACACUGGAACUGAGACACGGUCCAG